AUUCAGCUGACGAGUCCCAAAUAGAACGAAACGCGUUUUAUCGUGGAU
rnacentral:hammerhead_ribozyme from 1 species